CCGGGUCUCGCGAGAGUUAGCGGGUUCCCCCCUUGGACGCGGAGCCGUUUCGCUUUGGGAAGUGAGCGGGGGGCGGCGGCGGGGCGCGGCGGGCCGGGCCGGGUAGGGGGGGGUACGGGCGGCGGCGGCGGCGGCGCCCCGUGGGCCUUCCGGCUGAGAGACCAGCGCGGCGGCCCGCGGGGCCCGGGCGCCCGGUGCUGAGGGGGUGGGGAGGGAUCGCGGGCCCAGGCCCCGCCUUCCCGGGGCGCCCCCGCGGCGGCGCUGCCCUCCGGGCCUGGGCCCCUCGGAUGAGGCGGUGAGGCCGGUGUCCUUCCCCCUCCCUUCCCGGUUCCUGCCCGCCCCCCCCCCCGCCCCCCCUUCCGCCUCCUCCGGGGCCUCAAGCCGCCGCGGGGCCGCGCUCCCUGCCCCGCUCCCCAUGUAGGAGGGGGUGUUGGCGGCAGGGAGGGCCGAGGCCCGGGGUGAAUGGUGCGAGGAGCGGGCGCUGAGGAAGUUUGAAGUUCGGGGGUUUUGGAGGAUUCCCCCCCUCCCCUCUCUCGAGCACAGUGGAGGAGGAAUGCCAAACCCGGAGAGACAUGGGGGCAAGAAGGAUGGGGGCGGCGGGGGGUCCUCGCAGCACGCGCCUGGCAGCGGGAGUUCGAAUAGCAAGGAGAGGCAUCGGCUGGCCUCCAGGCACAAGAGACAUAAGUCCAGGCACUCCAAGGAGUCACCGCUGGCAGCCCAGGAGACAGCGGCACCCUUGGGCGCGAUGAUCAAGCCGCUGGUGGAGUACGAUGACAUCAGUUCGGAUUCGGAUACCUUCUCGGAUGAUGUGGCCCUCAAGCUGGACAGGAGGGAGAACGAGGAAAGGAAAGCGGAGAGGAGUGAGAGGAUACAGAAGCACCGGCACCACCAGCACAAGCGCAUUCGUGAGCUGAUGAAGAGCAAACAGGCAGAAAAAGAGAGGAAGUUAGAAAAGAGCCUGGAGGCAUCCAGCAGGUCCGGGUCCACCAAGGAGAGAAUAUCAGGAUCUUCCAAGAGACUCCUUGAAAGCGAGGAGCACCCGAAGUCACUGUCCUCAAAGAGUAGCAACAAGGAGUCCCGGUCGGCCAAAGCGCACAAGGAGAAAUCCAGGAAGGAUCGGGAGCUCAAGUCCAGCCACAAAGAGCGCAGUAAAAGCCAUCGGAAAAGGGAUGCUCCAAAAAGUUACAAAACAAUUGACAGUCCGAAGCGGAAAUCCAGAAGUCCUCACAGAAAAUGGUCUGACAGCCCUAAAUUGGACGACAGCCCCUCAGGAGCCUCCUACAUCCAGGAGUACGAUCUCAGCCCUCCCCGCUCUCACACAUCCAGUAACUAUGAUCCCUAUAGGAAGAGCCCCGGCGGCUCCUCGCGCCGGCAGUCGAUCAGCCCACCCUACAAGGAGCCCGUGGCUUACCAGUCGAACACUCGCUCUCCCAGCCCUUACAGCCGGCGGCAGAGGUCCAUAAGCCCCUAUAACAGGAGGCGCUCCUCAAGCUACGAGAGAGGCAGCGGGUCCUACAGCGGGAGGUCGCCGAGCCCUUACGGCCGACGGCGUUCGAGCAGCCCUUUCACCGCGAAACGGUCCGUGAGCCGAAGCCCCAUCGCCAGGAAGUCUGUGAAGUCCCGAAGCCGAAGUCCUGGGUAUUCAAGACACUCAUCAUCUCACAGUAAAAAGCAGAGGUCUGGGUCACGCAGUCGCCAUUCCAGCAUAUCACCGACAAGGUUACCGCUGAACUCCAGUCUAGGGGCAGAACUCAGCAGGAAGAAAAAGGAACGAGCAGCAGCAGCGGCAGCUGCAGCCAAGGUGGAUGGGAAGGAGGCAAAGGGCUCGCCUGUUUUCCUGUCUAGGAAGGAGAACAGCUUAGCUGAACUUAAGGAGUCUGGAACGGAAUCUAAAAAGGUCAUCAAAACUGUUAAAUCUGAAAAAUCAUCUUCAGAUACUGAAUUAGUUAAUUUACUGUAUACGAAUGCAGAGACUAAAGCCCCUGCAGAGACCACAAAAAUCAAAGCAGAGGAGAACUCUGAGAGGAAACAUCCUGUUCCAGUUCGAGAUUCGAAACAGACGGGAACAAAAGACUUGAAGCCUGUAGCAGUGGUAGAGGACCUCCUAUCUCCAAAAGAGACGGACGCAGCAGAGAAGGAGAUUCCACCCCCACAACCCUCAAUAAAAUCACCUCCUCCACCUCUGCCAACAACCACACCACCGCCUCCAACUCCACCGUUGCCGCCUUUGCCUCCAUCACCUGCUGUUCCACCUUUGCCACCAUCCCAACUGACUCCCAUUCAGGUUCCUACUUCAGCCCCAACGUCUUUGCCAUCUUCUUCCCACCCAAGGACGUCUACUUUAUCCUCUCAGGUGAACUCUCAGUCCUCUGUCCAAGUCGCUACAAAAACACAAGUGUCUGUGACGGCUGCUAUUCCACACCUGAAAACUUCAACGUUGCCUCCGCUUCCGCUCCCCCCUAUUUUAGUUGGGGAAGAUGACUUGGAUAGUCCAAAAGAGAUUCUUCCUCCAAAACCUGUGAAGAAAGAUAGAGAGCAGAGACCACGACACUUACUCACGGACCUCCCGCUCCCUCCAGAGCUCCCUGGAGGGGAUCCAUCUCCUCCUGACUCCCCGGAACCAAAGGCAGCCACACCACCUCAACAACCGUUCAAAAAGAGACCAAAAAUCUGUUGUCCUCGGUAUGGGGAAAGGAGACAGACGGAAAGUGACUGGGGGAAGCGUUGCGUGGACAAGUUUGAUAUCAUUGGGAUUAUUGGAGAAGGGACGUACGGGCAGGUGUACAAAGCCAAGGACAAGGAUACAGGUGAAUUGGUAGCUCUCAAGAAGGUGCGACUGGACAAUGAAAAGGAAGGUUUCCCCAUCACGGCCAUCCGCGAGAUCAAAAUCCUUCGGCAGCUGAUCCACCGCAGUGUUGUUAACAUGAAGGAAAUUGUCACGGACAAACAAGAUGCACUGGAUUUCAAGAAGGACAAAGGUGCCUUUUACCUUGUGUUUGAGUACAUGGACCAUGACCUAAUGGGGCUGCUAGAAUCUGGCUUGGUACAUUUCUCAGAGGACCAUAUCAAGUCUUUCAUGAAACAGUUAAUGGAGGGUCUGGAUUACUGUCACAAAAAGAAUUUCCUUCAUCGAGAUAUUAAGUGCUCCAACAUCUUAUUGAACAACAGUGGACAAAUCAAACUUGCAGAUUUUGGACUCGCCCGACUCUACAGCUCGGAGGAGAGCCGUCCAUACACAAAUAAAGUCAUUACAUUAUGGUAUCGACCUCCAGAAUUGCUGCUAGGUGAGGAGCGUUACACACCAGCCAUAGAUGUGUGGAGCUGUGGCUGUAUCCUCGGGGAACUGUUUACAAAGAAGCCUAUUUUUCAAGCCAAUCUGGAACUGGCUCAGCUUGAAUUAAUCAGCCGGCUCUGUGGGAGCCCCUGUCCAGCGGUGUGGCCGGAUGUCAUCAAGUUGCCCUACUUCAACACUAUGAAACCGAAGAAGCAAUACCGAAGGCGCCUGCGUGAGGAGUUCUCCUUCAUUCCUUCGUCUGCUCUCGACCUGCUGGACCACAUGCUGACGCUAGACCCCGGCAAGCGCUGCACAGCAGAACAGGCCCUGCAGAGUGACUUCCUUAAGGAUGUUGACCUCAGCAAAAUGGCACCUCCAGACCUUCCCCACUGGCAGGACUGCCACGAGCUGUGGAGCAAGAAACGCCGACGGCAGCGGCAAAGCGGGAUUGCAGUGGAGGAGCCACCAUUAUCAAAAGUUUCUCGGAAAGAAACUACCUCUGUUACAAGCACAGACACUGUGAAAAACAACAGCAGUCCUGUGCACCCACAGCCUGCCCAGCUCAAAACAGAGUCUGGUGCUGGAGAUGCAGUAGGCCUUGGAGAAAUCACCCAGCAGCUGAAUCAGAGUGAACUAGCUGUUUUACUGAACUUGCUGCAGAGCCAGACUGAUCUGAGCGUCCCACAGAUGGCCCAGCUGUUGAACGUACACUCUAACCCGGAGAUGCAGCAACAGCUGGAGGCUCUCAACCAGUCCAUCAACGCUCUGACAGAAGCCACGACUCAGCAGCACGAGUCUCAGGCAGCGGCAGCAGCAGCAGAGGAAGCCAUAGAAGAGCCACCUGCGGAGACCCAGCUACCGGAGGAGCAGGCGACUCCAGAAACAGCCAGCGCUCAGGGAGAUAUGCAGAACGUGUUGGCCGUUCUGCUGAGUCAGCUGAUGAAGAGCCAGGAACCCGUUAUAACCCUGGAGGAGAGCAACGGGGAGAAGAGCAGUGAGCAACGAGGGGCAAGGAAAACCCCUACAGUGCAUCCGGAGGAAAGUACAGCAUGUCCUCCUCGCAUUCUCCCACCAGAGAAGAGACCCCCCGAGCCCCCUGGACCACCGCCGCCACCACCACCACCUCUGUCCGAAGGCGAUCUCUCCAACGCAGCCCAAGAAUUGAACCCGGCCGUGACGGCUGCGCUGCUGCAGCUCUUUUCCCAGCAAGAACCGGAACCGCUCAGCCACACGACGCACGAACACCAAGCCUCGAGAGCCGCGGACUACGGCAGGUCCCACUCCUCCAGGACUUACAGCGCUGAGGGCUCAGAGGGGGGAUUUGGUACCGAGGAGCUGAAUUCGGGCCAGACGCUACUAGAACCCUCUGCCCAGCCUCUGGGGAAAAGCAGGACCUUCUUGGGCUCCGUGAGCCACCUCGGGGAGACGAGCAAUUACCAGGGCACAGGAUCUGUCCAGUUUCCAGGGGACCAGGACCUCCGCUUCACCAGAGUCCCCGUCGCCAUACACUCGGUUGGGCAAUCUUUUACGAAAACCGAGGGGAGCAACAACACGCUGGUACAUCCAGAGGCCAAAAUUCAAAACUACGGCGAGCUGGGACCGGGGACGGCGGGUUCCAGUGGGGCAGGAACAGGUCACAGCUGGGGUGCCCCAACCCAGGCGACUUCUUCUUACGGGAAGGCGUACCGUGGGCCUGGCAGAGUGCCUCCGCGGGGGGGACGGGGGAGAGGGGUUCCGUACUGAGAGAUGCGCCUUUCGCACCCCGGUCCUCCCCUCCCUCGCCUCUCCACCUUUAGCGACAUGACUUUUAUUAAAUUUUUUUUUUUUUUUUUUUUUUGCCAGAGCAAGGUCUCGUCCGCAUUUCAGCUGCUGCGAAAGCUCCCUGUUGUAUUCCUUGCUAGGCUGCCGGCGAGCACCCCGUGACUUGCUGUAGGGUUCCCACUUGGGUGUCUCGCUGGCCAAAACCUCCUGCGCUUGGUUAGUGACAAAAAAAAAAAAAAAAAACAAAAAAACCCAACCACCCCACCGCAAAGAGCCAGCGGGGAGGGGAGGGGGGGGAUUGUUUAAAAAUAGGAAUGAAACAAACCCAUCCAUGUGGGAAGAAGGAAAUUAAAAGAUGUUUCUCUAGCUGGGCACCAGUGCUUCUCAGCGAGGGAAGCGUGGGGCAGUGUUCAGGUAGGGCUGAGGGAGAGUCUGGUUCCCAAAGCAAUUUAUUUGGGGUCUUUUUCCCAAUUCCCUUUAAAAAAAAAAAAAAAAAAAAAAAGGAAUAUAGUGAUGCUGAGGUGUCUGGAUCAGUUGUCCUGGCCGCGGAGACCAAAGAUGGGGCAUGGGCUUGUACUCGAAUUUAUCCGACAUCGCUUUCUUUCCGUAGGGUGUCCAGCCAUUGCUCUCCUCCGGCUCCGUGCCGAGGUUGUGUCCUGCCUGCGCGGCUCCGGGCCCGGGGUCCUGCCUCUCGCGGCGGUAGCCGUGGUGAAUUGGUUUUUGUGAAGGGUCUCUGGGGGUCGGAUCUCUCCUGCUGUAACUUUGCAGUGGGAAUCAUCUUUUUUUUUUUUUUUAUUAUUUUUCUUUUUUAAAGAGCCGAAGAGAACACCUCACUUAAAUAUGUAUUUCUUUGUAAUUCAUAACUUCCAAAACACUUUAAGAAUUAAAGAGAAAAAAAAAAAAGGAAAAAAAACCAACUUCUGGUGGGGAAUCGCCACCGGGUAGGAGUGUCUUUUGUUCCGGGGAUCCUUCUGGGCUGGUGGUGCGUGUCCCGACGGGGGUCGGUCGGGCUCCCCGAGCAGCAUCUCAGUACUUUGAGGCGUACCAGGCGUUACUGUAUCAUUUCUAUAAGCAUAUAUAUUUUUGUUGUUGUCAAGGAAGUAUUUACGAUGAAUUUUCUCCUCCUGCAGAACAUUGCGAUGUUGUCCAUUUCAAUGAGACUUAAACAAAAGAGAUGAAUAAAACAAAGCUGCCAGCUCUGGUCCGUGGUGAAGCUGCUGCUGUUGUUGUUGUUCUGGCUUUUCUUCCCGAGCCCAUCCAAUUUGGAAGGAAAAGUCGUGUUCCAGUGCUGAAUCCUCUUAGGAAGCCGAUGCCUAUUUAUUGUCUUUCCAAAUUGGCAAAUCCCCAGCAAAGCCUGCUGAGGAGCGAGCGGUCCUUAAGCCAGCACCACAAACCUGACCCUCUCCCAGGCUCUGCCACCCCCCAGCUUUGGGGUCCCCAUCCUAGGCGCAGUUUAGGGUGACCCGUCCCAGCAAAAAGCAAAUUUUCCAAAAUUUGCAAAAGCAAAUGGGGUGCAGCCAGGUUCCCCCCCCCCCAGCCCCGUGGCUCUCCCCGGAGCAGCCCCCCCCGCAGAGACGCUUCGUGUUGCAGCGGGGGCUGCCAACGCGCUGAGGCCGUUGGUGGUGGCUGCGGCGGGUGGGCUCCCGUCCCACCUCCAGUGAAGGACAGACAUCCCCGACGUCUGUCCCUUGCUCUGGCUGGUGGCAUCUGUCAUCCGUCCCCACGGGGCCGGGCCGGGAGGUGCCUUUGGGUGCCGGGAGGUUUGGGCAGAGCUGCGGCGCUGGCGGGGGCCACUGCUCUGUCUCCAGUUGCUUUUCUUAACUGGUCCCAGCGAGAGGCUUUCAACCUCUGCAAAGGGAGCACGGGGGGGACCAGCCUGGCCAGGAUGUGGCCGGGGGGCUGUGGGACCGCUGGCAUCCUCCCCAGCCCUCCCAGCAGCUCCUCUUCUUUUUUUUCUCUUUUUUUAAUUUUUUUUUUUUUUUAAAGGUCUCUGUACAAAGCAGACAAAAGGAUUUAGUGAGUGGAGGGGGAACCGUAUGCAUUUAAAAGGAUUUAAAAUGUGGUGCAGGUUACAGACAAGUCCUUAGAUGGCAAUUCGCCCCUCCUUUCUUCCUCCACACGGAUGGUUUUUGGGUUUAAUGCCAAUGUCUAACACGCUGUAGCCAGUUACCCAGCAGAGAAGCGUCUGGUAAGACUCUUACUGUACCUCUCCUGAGUUUCGUUUUGAGACUGAGCGCGCCUUUUUUUGGUUGUACCUUUGUCUCUGUACAGAUAUUUUGUAAUAUAUUAAAUUUUUUCUUUUCAGUUUAUAAAAAUGGAAAGUGGA